UCUUCAGAGAUUCUGUAGUUGUGGAAGGAGAGAUCAUCUUACCAGUUACUAUAGGAAAAGAAUCUUGUCUGUCAACGAUAAGACUUACCUUUCUAGUUAUCAAGAUAACGUCAGCUUACAAUGCUAUCCUUAGCUGACCUAGGCUUAACGCUCUCGAGGCUGUGGUUUUCACUAAUCAUUUGUUAGUCCGAUUCCCAAUCAAGAAUGGAGUCGGG
rnacentral:lncRNA from 1 species